GCCGGAGUGGCGGAAUGGCAGACGCGGGAGACUCAAAAUCUUCAGUUCCGCAAGGAGCGUGCGGGUUCGAGUCCCGCCUUCGGCA
rnacentral:tRNA from 1 species